UACGGGAGGCAGCAGUGAGGAAUAUUGCACAAUGGGCGAAAGCCUGAUGCAGCGACGCCGCGUGAGGGAUGACGGCCUUCGGGUUGUAAACCUCUUUCAGCAGGGACGAAGCGCAAGUGACGGUACCUGCAAAAGAAGCACCGGCUAACUACGUGCCAGCAGCCGCGGUAAUACGUAGGGUGCGAGCGUUGUUCGGAAUUACUGGGCGUAAAGAGCUCGUAGGCGGACUGUCACGUCGCCUGUGAAAGCCCGUGGCUCAACCACGGGUCUGCAGGCGAUACGGGCAGACUAGAGUACUGCAGGGGAGACUGGAAUUCCUGGUGUAGCGGUGGAAUGCGCAGAUAUCAGGAGGAACACCGGUGGCGAAGGCGGGUCUCUGGGCAGUAACUGACGCUGAGGAGCGAAAGCGUGGGGAGCGAACAGGAUUAGAUACCCUGGUAGUCCACGCUGUAAACGGUGGGCGCUAGGUGUGGGUUUCCUUCCAUGAAAUCCGUGCCGUAGCUAACGCAUUAAGCGCCCCGCCUGGGGAGUACGGCCGCAAGGCUAAAACUCAAAGAAAUUGACGGGGGCCCGCACAAGCGGCGGAGCAUGUGGAUUAAUUCGAUGCAACGCGAAGAACCUUACCUGGGUUUGACAUGGACCGGAAAGCCGUAGAGAUACGGCCCCCCUUGUGGUCGGUUCACAGGUGGUGCAUGGCUGUCGUCAGCUCGCGUCGUGAG
rnacentral:rRNA from 1 species